UACGUAGGGUGCGAGCGUUGUCCGGAAUUAUUGGGCGUAAAGGGCUCGUAGGCGGUUUGUCGCGUCGGGAGAUGAAACACCGGGCUUAACUCGGUGCUUGCUUUUCGAUACGGGGCAGACUAGAAGGCAUGGCAGGGGGAGGACGGAAUUCCUGGAUUGUAGGCGGUGGAAAUGAACGCAGAUAUCAGGAGGAACACCGGUGGCGAAGGCGGUCUCUGGGCAUGUCCUGACGCUGAGGAAGCGAAAGGUGUGGGGAGCGAACAGG
rnacentral:rRNA from 1 species